AUGGCUUUCAGACUCCUCUACUAUGUGUCCCUUUUCCUUCUGGAGACAGGCCUCAUGGAUGGUAGUGUCUCCCAGACCCCAAGACACUGUAUUUCAGGGACAGGAAAGAAGAUUACCCUGGAAUGUUCUCAAACUCUGGGCUAUGACAACAUGUACUGGUAUCGACAAGACCCAGGAAAGGCACUACAGCUGCUCCAUUAUUCAUAUGGUGUUAAUACCACAGAGAAAGCAGAGCUCUCCUCUGGAUCAACUGUCUCCAGAUUAAGGAAAGAGCUUUUCUCCCUAACCCUAGAGUCUACCAGCCUCUCACAGACAUCCCUGUACCUCUGUGCCAGCAGUGAAUACACAGUGCUACACAGGCACCUACAGCCUGCAUAA